AUGACCUUCUUACCCCAAUUUUCAUUCAUCUAAUCUCUCUUUCCUGGGGAAGUUCUACAGGUCGUCAGCGCUCUUUACCCUGUGUGCUUCCGACACAUCUAUCAGCCUUGUCAAACAUCGAGUUUAUUUCACGAAAGAGGCACUGAGGCUACACCAUCUGCAUAAGCCAAUCUAUUGCCCAGAUAGAUUAUCGGGUAUACCAGAUACACAUACUACUGGUAGGUGUAUCAGAAAUUCAUGUGAAUCCGCAAUUGUGUUAUGGACAACUUCAAAUUCCAAGCAAUGUCUUGUCAUCAGUGUCGCUCAAAUGCGAAUAAGGGGUUUAAUCUGUUAAGAUCGUAUUUGAAACUUAUUCUCCACCAGAAGAAGGCCUCGUGAGUGGUUUUCUAUAACUCUUUGUUUUUAUGUUUGUAAAGUUUGUUCAACAAAUUUAAUCAAAAUCUAAUUUUUAAUGUCAUUAGCACCUUCUGAAUGAUAUUGAAUUCAUUAUCUAUGGAGUUUAAUUUAAUUACGACUAAAUUGAACUUUGCAUACUUGAAGUAUUUCUGUUGGUAAGGAAAUGCCUAAAAUAAUUUUCAUGCUAGCUUGAUGGCUAAAUUAUUUUUCAUUAGCCAAUUUAGUGGCUCUGCCCACUUCUGUUAAAAUGCACCUAAUGCCGUGACUUGUGUUUAGGUUUUACAAAUUAGAGGUUAAAAACGUGAUUUAGCUGCCCCCGAUAUAUACCCCAGUUUCCCUCCAUUCUCCCAGUUUCAACUCCAUCAGAGGAAAGUCUUGCAACUGUACUGGACUACAAAUGUGGCUGUGGAUUUAUCAAAUCUGAAAGGUUCUGCCUAUAUUGCAGGAAUGCAUCUGUAUCUUAAUUGACCACCAUCAAGUUCUUCCCCAUUAGCCUAAGAACAAGACUUGAAGCUGAUGGACUAGCUGCUCCAGAAAAAAAAUCCCUCUGUAUAUUUCAAGACUAAUAUCCUUAAAGGAUCGUUCAAUAUUGUUCAAACAUUCAUUCUUAAAACAAAGUUUACAGAUGGUCCAAGCCGGAGAGAUGAGGGAGUUCAUUCUCUCUUUCUCACUAAAAUAUCUCCACAAUAUUUGAAAAAAAGCUCUAGGUUAAGGAAAUAAAGUUAGGCAUUAAUUAGGAAGCUUCUGGAAAUGGUUAUACAUGCCGGACGCAGCAGGGGAAGUUUCAUUGUUUAAUAUAUAAGUUUUUAGCAAGAAACUGCUUAUUCAUAUCUAUGAAGAUCUGACUAAAUUCAUAUAAACUCUUUAGGCUUUGUAUUGUUGUAACCUCUUCUCUUGGUGUUGAUUUUAAUAUGCAGCUCUGCAGCGCUAGGUGUGAUAUAAGCUAAUAUAUCACCUGUAGAGUAUUGCUUUUUGUUUUUUUAUUAUCUCUUAUUUUUGGUUAUGAUCAAUUACGGUAAUUCAGAUACACACACACGGUGCACCACUGAUGUUUAAAUCCUCGAUCUCCUGCUGUUAAGGUAAGAUGGAUAUCCUUAAUGGUGACUUUUACAUAUUUUCUUUGAGAAUGUGUUCUGAUUGGUUCUUUGACUUAAUUAAUGGGUACCCCAAACGUGCAGGGAAAGAAAAAAGAUAUAGGAGGAACUAGGAAGUAAGAAGAGAUUAGGGGGAGACAAGUGGUUAAUUUAAAGUUAAUUUUUGAGUACCAGCAUAGGCAUCAUUUUUAGAGUGAAGUGGGGAACCAGUGAAAUACUAAACCUGACCAAUUACAUAACAGACCUCUAGAAAAUGAGAAGAGAAUAUUCUUUUGAAUUCUGAAAUAUUUUAUAGCAAUCUACUGGUAUCUUACUAUUCGUUCAAUUAUUCACCGAAACUACCUUUAACUACAAAAACUCAACACAUAGAUAGGUCAUAGGAAAGACUAUUCAUUAACUUUGCAAGACAGCUGUGCUUACAAGAAAUUGUUUUGCCUCCCUCCAAAUGGCUCAUGUUGUUUAACAAAUAUGAAAUAGGAAUAAUUAGUUUCUCCUUCCAUAAAUCCAUACUUUGUGUCUGUAAAAGCUUUUGUGUGCGCAAAAAUUUAAUUACGAAACAGAUGACACCUGUGCAUUAAUUUAUGAUGCUUGGGAAAUUAGUUACGUAUAUUUCAGUUACUAAUAUAUGAGACACAUUUUUGAGGACAAACGUUAUUUUUACUGUGCCUCUUAAAUCUGUAGUCAGGAUGCUGCAAAAGAGGCUUUACUUUAUAGCUAUAAAAAUGCUGCCAGUGGAUUCUCUGCUAAUUUGACUCCUGAGGCAUUGUAGAAAAAAUUCGUUGGAUUCAAAGUUAGUAAAGGGUAAAAUUGUACUGUGUGAUGAAUUAAGCAACGGGGAAUCGAUCUUUUUGUCUGGCGUAGCUGGGACCAUAAUGAGAGAUGCAGAAAAUAGAGAUAACACCAAACUUUUCCCUCUUCCUGCAACUUUCCUUGGUGUCGACGAUGGUGAUAAAGCUUUCAAAUACAUUAGAUCUACAAGGUCUGAUUAGCAAACCCCAUUUCCUUAUUCCAAAUUUAUCAAAACUAGUGGUUGACGGUUUAGUAGCCUGACAAGAACGAGAAAAACCAACAAGCGACGGUCUAGAUGGCCUGCAUAUACCAAAAACUUUCAGAUCACAAGAGGCAAAACCAGAAACAUGAAGCGAAGACAAAGAAGAAAUCAUUGCAAAAACGUGAAAACCGUUAAGUCAACAACAAAUGCAAGGUUUUGUCUCAACAUAUUUGGGGAUCACGGAUUCUGGAAAUAAAUCAAUUACUGCUGGUUAGUAGAAACUAUAUCUUCAUGUGACUAUGACUGUUGUAAAGUUGUAGUAUGAAUGUAUGAUAUAAUCAACAUGUUCUGUAAAUAUUUGUUUAUCGUACCUUAAACCCAAGUACAUGCUUAUAAGAAAAAAAGCCCAACUACAUAAUUUGUUUAUUUGGGAUUGAUACUAUUAGUAAGUUAUAUUAGCUUUGUCAUUUUAAAAAUAUAUUAUUAAUGUAUAACUUUAAGAAAAUGUUUUUGAGUUAAUUGAUUCUGAAUAUUAACAUGAUUGAAUUUUGCCAUAUCUCCAUUAAGGUUGCAUCUUUUUCUAAUGGAUCAAGCUUAGGAUAAAACAAUUAUUUAUUAUAUUUAUAAUCCAAAUAUUCAUUAGAUUUAAUCAUAUACUACUUGUAAAUUAUUCGUGUAGACAAUAUUUCUCACUAUUUUAUAUUACUUGAGGGGUUGUUUGGACAACCUUACACUUGAGUUUUUUAUGUGUUAGUUUCAUGAGGAUAUUUUUAAUCUCUCUCUCUCUCUCUCUCUCUUUCUCUCUCACACACACACACACACACAUGUAUAUGAAGCAAGCGGAACAUGAUUUCUGACCGGGAGUGCAACCCCAUAACAAUAGACCUUAAGUGGAAAGAAAUUUUAGAACCUAUGAGCAAACUGUACACAAAAUCUACAGAUGGCUCUUGCAUAGAAAGAGUGCUUUGAUAUGACGUCAUCAGGAUGGAUCCUGCCAUGCAAAAGAAUUGUCAUUUGGGAAAGUUUUUUUGGAAAUGAGCAUCGUAGUUGUUAAAAGAGGCCAAUAUAUCUUCGAGGUUAAGUCACAGGGUAUAAACAAAUGGUUGGUUGUUGAGAAGUUUCCGUCAGCUAUGUUCGGUGGUGGAAAACCUCCAAAUUUUGUCACGUGUAUCGAAAAUGACAAAUCAGAUGAAGAUAUGUUUGGAGCAUCUUAAGCCCAAUUCUAUCGACAUCCAUUCCUACUCAGAGGUCUUUACCUAUAGUGUUGGGAGAAAGCCAAGCAAAGCCUGCUUUUAUAUUGAUGACAUUGUUAUAGUAGUGAAGCUGCUUAAAGCCCAUGUUGAUGCGCCAAUUCCAGAGCCAACAUUGUAACCACGUACAGUCGUACAUGUCAAAAUUUCUUUCGACAAUUUCAUUUGAGAUGGAUAAUUGUGAGAUGCUUAAUAGGGAUUGCAAAACUAUAUUGGCAUCAUAAAAUCUUUGAAUCAAAUUGUAUUACU